rnacentral:lncRNA from 1 species
GAAGCGCACCCAGCUUUCCAGUCUGCUGCUCUCUGGCUGGCUUGCUCUUUGAAGCGAGCCUUUUUGGUGCGGUUUCCACUCUACGCCGUCUACAGUUUCUCCCUCAGUAAGUCAGUAAGGUGGGGAGGGGCAGCCGCAGACCAGGGGCCAGCAACUGUGGAGACACCUAUGGAUGUACGCUGUUCUGGGCAAGAGCGGAAUAAAGUGGCUUUUAUCCGACUUUUUUCCAAAAGCCUUUGUGUGCUCCAGAAGCUGUGUGUUAUUGCAUUAUUAACGCUCUAGUGAGCCAGGCCAAGACAAGGAUCCACUAGAGCUGUCCGGGGCAGCUUCAGCUGGUUCUAACCUCUCGUCCUGUGACCCAGCCUGACUCCUGGUCUUCGCAUUGCAGCCCGGGAAAGGAGGGUUGGUGGGGAGGCAGAGGCCAGCCAUUACCGAAGGUGCCCCAGCUUCUCACCAGACUGGUCCACCCAGUUCCCAGGAAUUAUUCUAAGCGUAAUCCAUUUUGCCAAUAUUGUAUUUCUUAAAGUACCAGCAGCACAAAGCCGGGAAGAGGGGGGCUGCGUAAAGUUGCAUGAAACCAGGUUUCUCCAGGCUUCUGCAAGCAGGGUGCUCUCAGGUUAGAUGGACCAAGCAUCGGAUGUGUGGCUGUCAUCCUUAGGGCCCAAGGCAGAGACAACCUGGAACAACAGAAUUUUCUGAUGGCCAGUGUGAACCCUUACUCUCACAGGGGAGCAGAGGAAACCCAAAGAGUCACUGGACUGUCAGAAGCCCCUGAGCUCAUCUGCCAGCCGCUGGUCCCACCUCCGGAUUCCCACAAUGCCUCCAGCUACUUCCGUUCACGUGCCUCUUCCUCUAGGAAGACUUCCUGUCUUUCUUCAUCACGUAUCCGACCCCAAACCUCUGUUUCCAAUUUUUCUUCCAUUCUCUCUCUCUCUUUACAUCCCCUUUCCUUGCCCUCCCUUUUCCCUCCUUCCGUUUCUUAUUCUCCUUUGCAUUUGAAAAGGAAGCUCCUCCUGUUCCUCUUUUAUGUGACUUCUAGGAAAAAAUUAAAUUAUAUCUAUAUCUAUAUAUCUAUAUCUAUGGUUGCAUUAUAUAUCUGUCACUCUAUGCUGCUCAGACUGUAA